UGGAUUUUUGACUAUGGUGGAAGCUUAUGUUCUAGAUGGAGCAAAAACAAUGGGCAGCUAGUGCUUCCAAAAAGGGUCAAUGUUCUAUGCAAUGGUGUGGAAGGAAUCUAUCAUUCAAGCCUUCACUUAGUUGUUUGCAAGUGUGGUUUUUGUGAGACCGAAAAGCAAUCGCUUAGCGAAUGGGAACGCCACACAGGUUCUAAAUCGAGAAAUUGGAGAACAAGUGUUCGGGUGAAUGGCUCCAUGUUAUCACUGGAACAAUGGAAAAUAGCAAAAUAGCGACUCUGAUUCCACUCUUAGACGAAGCACAAGAUAUUGUUCCACCGCAACUCCAACCCAAAACACCCCUUUGGCUUGGUUCCUGCUGAUACGGAAAGAAGUGAAGAUGUUUGCAAAGGAGAGAGCUCAUGCUUAGGGAUUUCAUCAUCUGGAGAUGGCUCUGCUGAAGUAGGAAAAGAUGCUUGCACUCCCAAACCAACAAUGCAGAAAAGAUUGACAACCAUCACCUCCAAGAAGCAAGAGACAGCUAAAAUGAUAGGCACCAGCAAAAAAACCACAAUUACAGUUAUCAUCCAUGAAAACCAACAAUGUCGGGACUCCCCAUUUGGCCCAAGAGAAUCAAGCUAUAAAAAGGCAAAAAUUGGAAGGAGAAAAGAGUAGACAGGUUGCUUGAAAUGGGGAAGAAAUCCUCCGCUUCACUCAAGAAGAAACGUUCCAAGCACUCCUCUAAGUCUAAGGUUGGUACUUGUCAGUGUAUUAUGCAUUUUGACAUGUAGUUCAUGUGUGCCUCAAUUAAUUUUGUAUCAAUUUUUUAUGAAAUUUUUGUUGCUUUUGGACAUUCUUGCUGACUAGAACAUAUUUCAGGAAGCCAUGAGUCAACAAAUUGAUGAAGUUGUGUCUGGGAGUGCACUUUCCCCUUCAUCCGAAUAUGAAUUAGUAUGCUUGUGAUAAUUACUUGACCAUUGUUAGAAUUUUAAGGUUAUCCAAGUGAUAGGAGCCAUGUAUGAGGUGUCUUGUGUUGUCCUACACAGUUUGCGCUAGUGCAUUAUUAACAUAAAGAGAAGCAUUGGAUCAAUGGUUUUAAAAUCAUCUCCCUAUUCCGAUGCAGAGCUUUUUUUCCAUUUUUCCUCCCAUUUUUAUCUAUUCUCUAUAACUUAAAAUUUUAAACAGCUGCACUUAUAUUUAUGCGACGAUAUUUUGUUGGUUUCAAGUUAUUUUCUCAAUAUAUGAAGCUGGACAUUGGUACUGAUUAACAUUUGGUAACUCAGCCAAAAGCUAGAGCAAUUCAGGUUGAGGACAAUAUGAUUGAAUGCAAACCAUCAAUGGAUGUAAAGCUCCCACGUAAGAUGUCAUUAUACAGGGGCUAAUGGCUUUGGUCAAUUAGGUGAUAGAACCGAGGAGCGAAGGAAAUAUCUAAAGAAAAUGAAGCCAUUAGAGUCAAUUUGUAAAAAUUGUGUCUUGUAUAAUUCUUAAUUCUCUUUUUAGAAAUUCAUUUUUGUUAAUGUUUGUAAAUUUCAUGUACGCAAUCAUUGCAUGUAUACAGAUGACAUUAUUGUAGGCUUUUACCAAGUAUUGAAUGUAGG